rnacentral:rRNA from 1 species
GCUCGUUUUCGAGUGGGGCUGGUUUUUGCAAUUUUAUUAGCUAAGUUCUUAAGGGCGCAUGGUGAAUGCCUUGGCACUAGAAGCCGAAGAAGGACGUAGGAGGCUGCGAUAAGCCUCGGGGAGCUGCCAACCGAGCUUUGAUCCGAGGAUCUCCGAAUGGGGAAACCCAGCACGAGUGAUGUCGUGUUACCCACUGCUGAAUAUAUAGGCUUUGGGAGGAAACGCGGGGAAGUGAAACAUCUCAGUACCCGUAGGAAGAGAAAACAACCGUGAUUCCGUGAGUAGUGGCGAGCGAAAGCGGAAGAUGGCUAAACCGCAUGCAUGUGAUACCUGGUAGGGGUUGUGUGUGCGGGGUUGUGGGAGUUGUACUUGCCGGUUCUACCAGGCCGGCGGACAGUAAAAAAGUGUCGUGAUUAGCGGAAGUGGUCUGGGACGG